rnacentral:rRNA from 1 species
CUACGGGGUGCAGCAGUGAGGAAUUUUGCGCAAUGGGGGAAACCCUGACGCAGCAACGCCGCGUGAGUGAUGAAGGCCUUCGGGUCGUAAAGCUCUGUCAAGUGGGAAGAACCUAUCGAUAUUGAAUAUAUAUUGAUACUGACGGUACCACAAGAGGAAGCACCGGCUAACUCCGUGCCAGCAGCCGCGGUAAUACGGGGGGUGCAAGCGUUAUUCGGAAUCAUUGGGCGUAAAGGGCGCGCAGGCGGCCUUGUAAGUCAGAUGUGAAAGCCCGGGGCUCAACCCCGGAAGCGCAUUUGAAACUAUGAGGCUUGAGUAUGGGAGAGGGAAGUGGAAUUCCUGGUGUAGCGGUGAAAUGCGUAGAUAUCAGGAGGAACACCGGUGGCGAAGGCGACUUCCUGGACCAAUACUGACGCUGAGGCGCGAAGGCGUGGGGAGCAAACAGGAUUAGAUACCCUCGUAGUC